CAGGAUGCACCUCUCUCUGACUGUACGGAAACUAUCGAAGGGCUCGAGCUUACAGAGCAGACCUUUAGUCCCGCUAAAUCUCUCUCUUUUAGAAAGGGAGAGCUGGUGACGGCCUCCAAGGCCAUCAUUGAAAAGGAGUACCAGCCCCACGUCAUUGUGAGCACCACGGGCCCCAACCCCUUCACCACACUCACAGACCGUGAGCUGGAGGAGUACCGCAGGGAGGUGGAGAGGAAGCAGAAGGGCUCUGAAGAGAAUCUGGACGAGGCUAGAGAACAGAAAGAAAAGAGUCCUCCAGACCAGCCUGCGGUCCCCCACCCGCCUCCCAGCACUCCCAUCAAGCUGGAGGAAGACCUUGUGCCGGAGCCGACUACUGGAGAUGACAGUGAUGCUGCCACCUUUAAGCCAACUCUCCCCGAUCUGUCCCCUGAUGAACCUUCAGAAGCACUCGGCUUCCCAAUGUUAGAGAAGGA
rnacentral:lncRNA from 1 species